rnacentral:rRNA from 2 species
GUGACGAAGCGACGCCGCGUGUGGGAAGAAGGCCUUCGGGUUGUAAACCACUGUCGGGAGUUAAGAAAUGCAAGGAUAUUAAUAGUGUCUUUGUUUGACUAAGGCUCCGGAGGAAGCCACGGCUAACUCUGUGCCAGCAGCCGCGGUAAUACAGAGGCGGCAAGCGUUGUUCGGAAUUAUUGGGCGUAAAGAGCACGUAGGCGGCUAUGUAAGUCGGUUGUGAAAGCCUUCCGCUCAACGGAAGAACAGCAUCCGAUACUACAUGGCUUGAGUGCGGGAGGGGAGAGUGGAACUUCUGGUGGAGCGGUGAAAUGCGUAGAUAUCAGAAGGAACGCCGGCGGCGAAAGCGGCUCUCUGGCCCAUAACUGACGCUGAGUGUGCGAAAGCUAGGGGAGCAAACGGGAUUAGAUACCCCGGUAGUCCUAGCCGUAAACGAU